GAAAAACCUAUUUUGAUAUGUACGAAUAUGGAUUUAUAUGUCUCUGCUCAUGUGUUGAUGUGAUGUGUUGUUAUGUAAGGGGCGUGAUUAUGUACAUGGGCAUAUGUAUGUGUGAUGGUUCAUUGGCAUGAGCACGAAAAUGCAUUGAGUUUUCUAUGAAUGAGAAAGUGGAUUUUAGCAAACGGAAUUUCUGUUUUAUGAGAUUUUGCAUUGGGGGCCACCUCUUG
rnacentral:lncRNA from 1 species